rnacentral:tRNA from 1 species
GCGGACUGAUCGGUCAGGUCUUUGACAUCCUCGCGGAGAUCGGCCGCUUCGGGGCCAUCGCCGCGCCCCAGAUCGCCGUGACAUUCGGCGCAGUCCGCG